UUAAGUUAGAAAGGGCGCACGGUGGAUGCCUUGACACUAGGAGUCGAUGAAGGACGGGACUAACGCCGAUAUGCUUCGGGGAGCUGUAAGUAAGCUUUGAUCCGAAGAUUUCCGAAUGGGGAAACCCACCAUACGUAAUGGUAUGGUAUCCUUAUCUGAAUACAUAGGGUAAGGAAGACAGACCCAGGGAACUGAAACAUCUAAGUACCUGGAGGAAGAGAAAGCAAAUGCGAUUUCCUGAGUAGCGGCGAGCGAAACGGAACAUAGCCCAAACCAAGAGGCUUGCCUCUUGGGGUUGUAGGACAUUCUAUACGGAGUUACAAAGGAACGAGGUAGACGAAGCGACCUGGAAAGGUCCGUCGUAGAGGGUAACAACCCCGUAGUCGAAACUUCGUUCUCUCUUGAAUGUAUCCUGAGUACGGCGGAACACGUGAAAUUCCGUCGGAAUCUGGGAGGACCAUCUCCCAAGGCUAAAUACUCCCUAGUGAUCGAUAGUGAACCAGUACCGUGAGGGAAAGGUGAAAAGCACCCCGGAAGGGGAGUGAAAGAGAUCCUGAAACCGUGUGCCUACAAAUAGUCAGAGCCCGUUAACGGGUGAUGGCGUGCCUUUUGUAGAAUGAACCGGCGAGUUACGAUCCCGUGCGAGGUUAAGCUGAAGAGGCGGAGCCGCAGCGAAAGCGAGUCUGAAUAGGGCGUUUAGUACGUGGUCGUAGACCCGAAACCAGGUGAUCUACCCAUGUCCAGGGUGAAGUUCAGGUAACACUGAAUGGAGGCCCGAACCCACGCACGUUGAAAAGUGCGGGGAUGAGGUGUGGGUAGCGGAGAAAUUCCAAUCGAACCUGGAGAUAGCUGGUUCUCCCCGAAAUAGCUUUAGGGCUAGCCUUAAGUGUAAGAGUCUUGGAGGUAGAGCACUGAUUGGACUAGGGGUCCUCAUCGGAUUACCGAAUUCAGUCAAACUCCGAAUGCCAAUGACUUAUCCUUAGGAGUCAGACUGCGAGUGAUAAGAUCCGUAGUCAAAAGGGAAACAGCCCAGACCGCCAGCUAAGGUCCCAAAGUGUGUAUUAAGUGGAAAAGGAUGUGGAGUUGCUUAGACAACUAGGAUGUUGGCUUAGAAGCAGCCACCAUUUAAAGAGUGCGUAAUAGCUCACUAGUCGAGUGACUCUGCGCCGAAAAUGUACCGGGGCUAAAUACACCACCGAAGCUGCGGAUUGAUACCGAAUGGUAUCAGUGGUAGGGGAGCGUUCUAAGGACAGUGAAGUCAGACCGUAAGGACUGGUGGAGUGCUUAGAAGUGAGAAUGCCGGUAUGAGUAGCGAAAGACGGGUGAGAAUCCCGUCCACCGAAUGCCUAAGGUUUCCUGAGGAAGGCUCGUCCGCUCAGGGUUAGUCAGGACCUAAGCCGAGGCCGACAGGCGUAGGCGAUGGACAACAGGUUGAUAUUCCUGUACCACCUCUUUAUCGUUUGAGCAAUGGAGGGACGCAGAAGGAUAGAAGAAGCGUGCGAUUGGUUGUGCACGUCCAAGCAGUUAGGCUGAUAAGUAGGCAAAUCCGCUUAUCGUGAAGGCUGAGCUGUGAUGGGGAAGCUCCUUAUGGAGCGAAGUCUUUGAUUCCCCGCUGCCAAGAAAAGCUUCUAGCGAGAUAAAAGGUGCCUGUACCGCAAACCGACACAGGUAGGCGAGGAGAGAAUCCUAAGGUGUGCGAGAGAACUCUGGUUAAGGAACUCGGCAAAAUGACCCCGUAACUUCGGGAGAAGGGGUGCUUUCUUAACGGAAAGCCGCAGUGAAUAGGCCCAAGCGACUGUUUAGCAAAAACACAGCUCUCUGCGAAGCCGUAAGGCGAAGUAUAGGGGGUGACACCUGCCCGGUGCUGGAAGGUUAAGGAGAGGGGUUAGCGUAAGCGAAGCUCUGAACUGAAGCCCCAGUAAACGGCGGCCGUAACUAUAACGGUCCUAAGGUAGCGAAAUUCCUUGUCGGGUAAGUUCCGACCCGCACGAAAGGUGUAACGAUUUGGGCACUGUCUCAACCAGAGACUCGGUGAAAUUAUAGUACCUGUGAAGAUGCAGGUUACCCGCGACAGGACGGAAAGACCCCGUGGAGCUUUACUGUAGCCUGAUAUUGAAUUUUGGUACAGUUUGUACAGGAUAGGCGGGAGCCAUUGAAACCGGAGCGCUAGCUUCGGUGGAGGCGCUGGUGGGAUACCGCCCUGACUGUAUUGAAAUUCUAACCUACGGGUCUUAUCGACCCGGGAGACAGUGUCAGGUGGGCAGUUUGACUGGGGCGGUCGCCUCCUAAAGUGUAACGGAGGCGCCCAAAGGUUCCCUCAGAAUGGUUGGAAAUCAUUCGUAGAGUGCAAAGGCAUAAGGGAGCUUGACUGCGAGACCUACAAGUCGAGCAGGGACGAAAGUCGGGCUUAGUGAUCCGGUGGUUCCGCAUGGAAGGGCCAUCGCUCAACGGAUAAAAGCUACCCCGGGGAUAACAGGCUUAUCUCCCCCAAGAGUCCACAUCGACGGGGAGGUUUGGCACCUCGAUGUCGGCUCAUCGCAUCCUGGGGCUGUAGUCGGUCCCAAGGGUUGGGCUGUUCGCCCAUUAAAGCGGUACGCGAGCUGGGUUCAGAACGUCGUGAGACAGUUCGGUCCCUAUCCGUCGUGGGCGUAGGAAAUUUGAGAGGAGCUGUCCUUAGUACGAGAGGACCGGGAUGGACGCACCGCUGGUGUACCAGUUGUUCUGCCAAGGGCAUAGCUGGGUAGCUAUGUGCGGAAGGGAUAAGUGCUGAAAGCAUCUAAGCAUGAAGCCCCCCUCAAGAUGAGAUUUCCCAUAGCGUAAGCUAGUAAGAUCCCUGAAAGAUGAUCAGGUUGAUAGGUUCGAGGUGGAAGCAUGGUGACAUGUGGAGCUGACGAAUACUAAUAGAUCGAGGACUUAACCAU
rnacentral:rRNA from 6 species